AUGGCUGCAGUCACCAUCUGCAGUGAUUUUGGAGCCCCCCAAAAUAAAACACUAUAUAAGAUUAUGCUAAUAACUUUAAUGAUGAGUUUUAAUUUAUUGGUAUGUCAGCAAUAAGAAAAGUAUGGGUGGGUAGGAUACUUAAGGAUAUAACUAAUGGGUGAUUUAGUCAGAUAAGGAAAUGGAAGAACUGCCCAAAGACAGGUAAAAUUACAGAUGAAUAGUAUUGAAGACUAAAUAGCACAGAUUACCUCUAAAUCAGUUACUGAUUUCUCUCUUGUUCUUUGAAUUACUUAGGUCAUGCAUGGGACUCUUUGAGUUAUUAUCUCAUGAUCAUAUUAUUUGUCUGCUAAAGCUGAGACCCACAUUUUGAGCCUCCCAUGUAUUCCUAUCUCGCCAUCUCAUUCAGAUAUCUCUCUUCCCACUUCUUGGUUGUCACCACCCACCCACUUUCGAUGUUCGGUUUCCCUAAAGACUAGCAUGAUAUGUGAUUGUUUCUUCCUCUGUAUUUCAAAUUCUUCUUCAGUAUCUCCUUCACUUCUUUGUCCAAAGACAGUAAAUAAGUCCUCUUUUAAAUUGUCAGUUUCACUACUAGUGAGUAUGGGAAAAUAGGCAGCAUAUAACAAAAAGUAUACCUUAUAAACAUGUCAAAAUGAUAGUAAGUGGUUUAAAGUUACUGAUAACCAAGAAAGAACUAUGAAUGGAUACCACCUAGUAUUUUUCCCUCUGCCUUUAUUACAAUGAAGACAGUGCUCAUGAAAAUAACCCCUUCCUUCUGUUUUCUCAUUUACUGAAAAUGAAGCCUGAUGAUGUAAUCAAGGCAGAACAACAGGGCCCCCUUGUCUCAAGUGAAUUGUUUGCAUCUUGAAGUAUCUCUGGAUUCUAGGUGAUGUUUUCCAAGGGGGUUAAGCUUCUUCCUGUAAGAUCGCUUUUGGAAUUUGCUUCACAGUAUGUUUCACUAGAAUUGCCUUUUAUUACACUGAAGAUUUGUUAAGUGAUUGUGCCCAGCUGAGAUUUCCAGUGAUGCAGGCCCAUCUAUCUUAUAUAGCUAUGUGCCAGCCCUAGGGAACCUCUCAGCAUAAAUACAUAAAGCCCAAGUAAACAAUUAAAUUAAUUUAACCCUUCAAAAAAAUGACAGUGAACUCCAGAAAGUAAAACAAUGAAACAUUAUUAUAGAGAGAAACAAUUCUGCUCCAGAUGAAAAUAUAUUACUCUCAUAGAGUCUAAUAAGUUUCAGAUUUAAUUUAUAUUAAAAAAACAACAACAACCAAACAUUUAAACACAUAAACGACUAUAUAUAAGAUAGAUAAACAACAAGGACCUACUAUACAGCACAGGGAACUCUAUUCACUAUUCUUGGAU
rnacentral:lncRNA from 1 species